rnacentral:rRNA from 1 species
GUGCCAGAGCCGCGGUAAUACCGGCAGCCCAAGUGAUGGCCGCUGUUAUUGGGCCUAAAGCGUCCGUAGCUGGCCGCACAAGUCCGUCGGGAAAUCCGCCCGCUCAACGAGUGGCCGUCCGGUGGAAACUCCACACCUUGGGACCGGAAGGCUCGAAGGGUACGGCCGGGGUAGGAGUGAAAUCCUGUAAUCCCGGACGGACUACCGAUGGCGAAAGCACUCUGAGAAGACGGCUUCGACAGUGAGGGACGAAAGCUCGGGUCUCGAACCGGAUUAGAUACCCCGGUAGUCC